CCUGGCUCCUUCUGCCCCGCCCCACCCGCGCCUCCCCGAGGACCGUCCAGCGCGUCACGUGACGGGUCGGCGGCGCUGGCGGUUGCUGUCAGCUGAUUCCCCGGCUUGGUGGCAGCGGCAGCCGCGGCAAUGGACUUUCUCCUGGGGAACCCGUUCAGCUCUCCGGUGGGACAGCGCAUCGACGCAACGCCAGCCUUGAUUGCUUGUGAUUACUAUUGACCUAGUAUCAGCUGCCUGGACUUCCGUAAACUGCAGGGACGAAAUAAUCUCUUCUCAACCCUGCCGGCACCCCCUGUUGAGAGUAGAACCCUGAGCACUGUGGAUCCUCAUGGUGCUAAGCAGGGAGAAAGCUACAGAUGGCUCCCUGCAGAGCGAGGACUGGGCGCUCAACAUGGAGAUUUGCGACAUCAUCAACGAGACCGAGGAGGGCCCCAAGGAUGCCUUCCGAGCAGUGAAGAAGAGAAUCGUGGGGAAUAAGAACUUCCACGAGGUGAUGUUGGCUCUCACGGUCUUGGAAACCUGCGUCAAGAACUGCGGGCACCGCUUCCAUGUGCUGGUGGCCAGCCAGGACUUCGUGGAGGGCGUGCUGGUGAGGACCAUCCUGCCCAAGAACAACCCGCCCACCAUCGUGCACGACAAGGUGCUCAACCUCAUCCAGUCCUGGGCUGACGCGUUCCGCAGCUCGCCUGACUUGACAGGUGUGGUGGCCGUCUAUGAGGACCUGCGCAGGAAGGGCCUGGAGUUCCCCAUGACCGACCUGGACAUGCUGUCACCCAUCCACACGCCCCAGAGGACCGUGUUCAACUCAGAGACACCAUCAGGACAGAAUUCUGCGGGCACCGACGCCAGUCAUCGAGGGGACUCCAGCCAGCACACCGUCCCUCUGCCCACCUCAGCCCUGCUCCCCAGCGACACACCCAUAGCGCCCACCCCUGAGCAGAUCGGGAAGCUGCGCAGCGAGCUGGAGAUGGUGAACGGGAACGUCAGGGUGAUGUCGGAGAUGCUGACGGAGCUGGUCCCCAACCAGGCAGAGCCUGCGGACCUGGAGCUGCUACAGGAGCUCAACCGGACAUGCCGGGCCAUGCAGCAGCGGGUCCUAGAGCUCAUCCCGCGCAUCGCCAACGAGCAGCUGACCGAGGAGCUGCUCAUCAUCAACGACAAUCUCAACAACGUGUUCCUGCGCCAUGAACGGUUUGAACGGUUCCGCACAGGCCAGAGCACCAAGGCCCCAGGCGAGGCCGAGCCCGAGGCAGCAGCUGACCUGAUCGACAUGGGCCCCGACCCAGCGGCCAAUGGCAGCCUCUCGUCCCAGCUGGCGGGAAUGAACCUGGGCUCCAGCAGCGUGAGGGCUGGCCUGCAGUCUCUGGAGGCCUCUGGCCGACUGGAAGACGAGUUUGACAUGUUCGCAUUGACGCGGGGCAGCUCACUGGCAGACCAGCGCAAAGAGGUAAAAUAUGAAGCCCCCCAAGCAACAGACGGCCUGGCUGGAGCCCUGGAUGCCCGGCAGCAGAGCACUGGCGCGGUGGGAGGCGGCAGUGAGAAGAGCCUCAGUGACUGGAUGGUGAGACAAGGCAUGGUGAGAGGGGCUGGGCACCCGCGCAGGGCCACCCCGGCGGUGCUGUCCAUCAGACCCGAGGAGAGCGAGGGGCAUCAGGGCGCCCAGCCCCGCUCCCCGGCCCUUGCUUCCACGGCCGUGCAGCUCUGGCAGCUGGGAGGUGACCGGGGCUGGCCUGGAUCUGGGCUGAGUGUCCGCAUAGGGAGCUGGGCAGCGCUGGGAACUUGCUGCUGGUGCUGCUGGGGAAUCAGCUCCUGCCUCUUCUCUGGGCGCUCCUGCCGCCCACCGGGGUCCUCGCUGCCUGCCGAGGACAGAGCUUGGGGACUGACCUGGCUUUGGUUGGAGAAGGACUCGUUCUCCCUCUGUUUCCCAAAGUAGCUAAGUGGUAACUGGCGUUUCCUGGGCAUCUAAGCUGUGCCAGGCGCUGUGCUAAGCUCUCUGCCUCCCUCAUCUCCUUUAAUUCUCACAGCAGCCUGGACGGUAGGUAGCAUCACCCGUUGCAGUGAGCGAGGCGAGGGUUCGGGGAGUUUAGCAACCUGCGCAAAGUCGCAGGCCAGCACUGCGCCAGCUUUCUGACCCCGGAGUCUGUGCCCAGAGCCUCCAGCAGGAUCCUCCCACUCAAGAUGCAUCUCGAGACCCCAGCCCUGCCCCAGUCCAACCCUCAGCCUCGGUGGCAGAACUCGUAUCUUUUUUACCCCCGGUGAAAUGUACCCGCAGAACCGCAGCCCCCUGGACCCACCAGGCUGGUGGUCCCGGCACCUCCCUCAGCUCCAGCCCAUCUCUGCCCCCUCCCACCAUAAACUCUUGAGUCUGCAGGGGUGCAGUGGCACUGCAGUCGCCCCCCUGCCCCAGCCUUGCCAGCUGGCCGCUCCCUGGGCCUUGAGUGUUACUGUGUCAGGGGCUCGCGAGGCAGGUGACUGCGCGGGGCCUCAGCCGGUGGGCCCUGGGCUGGUGGGGCCUCCCUCUGGUCCAGUGCACUGUUCUCCCCCCCAGAUCCCUGUCACCCAGGCCUGCCUCAUGGAGGACAUCGAGCAGUGGCUGUCCACGGACGUGGGCAAUGAUGCCGAGGAGCCCAAGGGCGUCACCAGUGAAGAAUUCGACAAGUUCCUGGAAGAACGGGCCAAAGUGGCCGACCGUUUGCCCAACCUCUCCAGCCCCUCGGCCGAGGGGCCCCCGGGUCCCCCAUCUGGCACCGUCCCUCGAAAGAAGGCGCAGGAGAAGGACGAGGACAUGCUGUUUGCCUUAUGAGUGUGGGGCCUGGCGUCCUGGAGCCCGGGCCCCCGCUGUUCCCACACUGCGUGGCUGGGGCCUCUUCCUCCUUUGGUGUUCGCUGCUUUGGGGGUGGCUUGUUGCGCCCUCUUCUCUCCCCUUUGAGGUUUGGGCUGUGCUGCCUGGGGGUACAGGGGGCAGCUGGACAAGUUGAGAGCGCGAGUCAGUUCUAUGCUGGAUCCUGGCCACGCCUGCCUCCUUCCCCACCCCCACCAACCACUACAACUUUGCUGGAAAGCUGGAGGCCCCGGCACAGACAGGCUGGCCUCGUGGUUGCCCCAGUGUGACUGCCCCGGCCAUGGUGACCCAUCCCCAGAGGAGCCCCCUUCAGAGCCCUCACUGCCAGUUAAGGCCCAGCCUGAGGUUGGAGACCGCAGAUGCUUCUGUCGCAGCCUUGGGGCCCAAAGGCUUUGGCCACUGCGGAGGGCCGGGGGUGUGCUGUGGUGAAGGGAGGCCCCACCAGCCCCCGGCCGCAGGGGGAGGCUGCGGGGGUGCCUGGCGCACCCAUGUCACCCACGACCUCCACGCCCUUCCCUCCAUCCUUUCUCUCUUCCUCCCGCGCAGGCCUCCACCGGGCACUGGGCCCACCCAGCUGUUGGUUGACCCUCUUGUACUGGGAGAGGUGCCCUUUGUACCCCCGAUUAAAAGUAGAAAAGCAGCCUG